GUUCGGAUCGCAGGCUGCAACCCGCCUGCGUGAAGUCGGAAUCGCUAGUAAUCGCGGAUCAGCAUGCCGCGGUGAAUACGUUCCCGGGCCUUGUACACACCGCCCGUCACACCAUGAGAGUCGGGAACACCCGAAGUCCGUAGCCUAACCGCAAGGAGGGCGCGGCCGAAGGUGGGUUCGAUAAUUGGGGUGAAGUCGUAACAAGGUAAC
rnacentral:rRNA from 1 species